AGUGAACGCUGGCGGUAGGCCUAACACAUGCAAGUCGAACGGCAGCACAGUAAGAUCUUGCUCUUACGGGUGGCGAGUGGCGGACGGGUGAGGAAUACAUCGGACUCUACUUUUUCGUGGAGGAUAACGUAGGUAAACUUACGCUAAUACCGCAUACGACCUACGGGUGAAAGCAGGGGAUCUUCGGACCUUGCGCGGUUGGAUGAGCCGAUGUCGGAUUAGCUAGUUGGCGGGGUAAAGGCCCACCAAGGCGACGAUCGGUAGCCGGUCGUGGAGGGUGUACAGCCACAUUGGGACUGAGAUACGGCCCAGACUCCUACGUGGGGCAGCAGUGGGGAAUAUGGCACAAUGGGCGCAAGCCUGAUGCAGCGACGCCGCGUGGGGGAUGACGGCCUUCGGGUUGUAAACUCCUUUCGCUAGGGACGAAGCGCAAGUGACGGUACCUGGAGAAGAAGCACCGGCUAACUACGUG
rnacentral:rRNA from 1 species